rnacentral:rRNA from 1 species
GAUGAACGCUGGCGGCGUGCUUAACACAUGCAAGUCGAACGAUGAAGCCAGCUUGCUGGUGGAUUAGUGGCGAACGGGUGAGUAACACGUGAGUAACCUGCCCUUAACUCUGGGAUAAGCCUGGGAAACUGGGUCUAAUACCGGAUAUGACUUCCCAUCGCAUGGCGGGGGGUGGAAAGCUUUUGUGGUUUUGGAUGGACUCGCGGCCUAUCAGCUUGUUGGUGAGGUAAUGGCUCACCAAGGCGACGACGGGUAGCCGGCCUGAGAGGGUGACCGGCCACACUGGGACUGAGACACGGCCCAGACGCCUACGGGAGGCAGCAGUGGGGAAUAUUGCACAAUGGGCGGAAGCCUGAUGCAGCGACGCCGCGUGAGGGAUGACGGCCUUCGGGUUGUAAACCUCUUUCAGUAGGGAAGAAGCGUAAGUGACGGUACCUGCAGAAGAAGCGCCGGCUAACUACGUGCCAGCAGCCGCCGUAA